GACGAACGCUGGCGGCGUGCUUAACACAUGCCAGUCGAACGGAAAGGCCCUGCUUUUGUGGGGUGCUCGAGUGGCGAACGGGUGAGUAACACGUGAGUAACCUACCCUUGACUUUGGGAUAACUUCAGGAAACUGGGGCUAAUACCGGAUAGGAGCUCCUGCUGCAUGGUGGGGGUUGGAAAGUUUCGGCGGUUGGGGAUGGACUCGCGGCUUAUCAGCUUGUUGGUGGGGUAGUGGCUUACCAAGGCUUUGACGGGUAGCCGGCCUGAGAGGGUGACCGGCCCCAUUGGGACUGAGAUACGGCCCAGACUCCUGCGGGAGGCAGCAGUGGGGAAUAUUGCACAAUGGGCGGAAGCCUGAUGCAGCAACGCCGCGUGCGGGAUGACGGCCUUCGGGUUGUAAACCGCUUUCGCCUGUGACGAAGCGUGAGUGACGGUAAUGGGUAAAGAAGCACCGGCUAACUACGUG
rnacentral:rRNA from 1 species